ensembl:lncRNA
CUUAACCUGAGUGAAACUCAAUUACUCCUUUGCGAUGCUGCAUUCAAAACAUUAACAAAUGAUUAAAAAAAAAACAUCAAAAACCACAGCACAAACAAUGCUUGCCCAUUUGUCCUGCCUCUAACACACCAACUUUGAGGACAAAAUGUUCACUUGCUGCCUAUUAUCCCACCCACUAACAGGUGCCGUGAUGAAGAGAUAAUCAGUGUUAUUCACUUCACCUGUCAGUGGUCAUAAUGUUAUGCCUGAUACACUAUGUAGCUAUAUAUAAAUAGUAUAUCAGUCUGGAGAACUAAAAAAUUGACUAGCCAAUGGCGAUUCUAUUGCCAAGGUGUGCGUAGAGGGUUGAAUGUACAGUCUUAUAGAAAUAAUGAAAGUACAAAAUAAAUGUAGUAUUAGCUGAACUUGUAAAUAAUUGAACAUGAGACAGUGAUUUUUUUUUUUUUUUUUUUUUUUGUCAAUGUUGACUUGAGGUUUUAUCUAUAACACUAGCUCAGCAGAUACCACAACAGCGUCAGAAACAACCCUGUCCACUUCGGCCACUCUCUCUUCAACUGCUUUUCAAGGUACAACUAUUAGUACAGUUGAAACAUCCACAAGACCAACAACUUCAAUACCAAUGGCUUCUUCCACAGUCCCAACAACUCUUUCUGGAAUAUCCACCAGUAGUGCAGCAAUUACCAUGACAGCACCACAAUCAACAGCUUCUACCUUGGCUUCAGUCAGCUCCUUUUCACCAGCCUUUGACACAUUAACCACUAGUGCUACAACGGUCAUCCCUUCUACGGAUUCUACAGCCUCUACAGCAACUACAACUUCAGGUGGAUUAAAGAUUGAAUCCAGUCUGCUCCAAGCUACAUGCUUCAUUAUUAUGUCUAAAAUAUUUAGGCUUUCCCUAUAAAUCCCUUAAACAUAUAAAUCAAGCAAACGUGAGAUUGCAUCCAGACAUGCUGUUACAAACUAAACAGCAAAUCCAUUUUUCUCAUUACAUGGUUUAUAGUAUUUGCCAUUGCUGUACACACUCAAAUAAUGGUAAUAUAAGCUAGUAUAUAAAUAUAUUGCAUUGUUCUUCAGUUAACAGUAGACUAAUUAAGAAAAAUCUAUAAAUUUGUUGUAUUAUUGGUUGUAUGUGUUUUUCCUAAUAAUGUCUGUUUUCCAAAUUAAACAAGUUAAAAAAAAUGUGAAAUGUGUUUGUUGGGCUGUUCUAAGGUUAAAUGUGGGUUAUACU